AAAAUUAGUGAGGAGGAUCAAAUCUUGCAUAUUUUAUCUGGUUUGGGAACUGAUUACAACCCAGUAAUGGUGACUAUUACCUCGAAGACAGAAGGAUGGACAGUCCAAGAUGUUUCUGCAAUACUCAUGAGUUAUGAGU